GAUGAACGCUGGCGGCGUGCUUAACACAUGCAAGUCGAACGAACCUUCGGGUUAGUGGCGGACGGGUGAGUAACGCGUGAGAAUCUGCCCUCAGGAGGGGGAUAACGGUUGGAAACGACCGCUAAUACCCCAUAUGCCGAUAGGUGAAAUGAAUUUCGCCUGAGGAUGAGCUCGCGUCUGAUUAGCUUGUUGGUGAGGUAAUGGCUCACCAAGGCUUCGAUCAGUAGCUGGUCUGAGAGGAUGAUCAGCCACACUGGGACUGAGACACGGCCCAGACUCCUACGGGAGGCAGCAGUGGGGAAUUUUCCGCAAUGGGCGAAAGCCUGACGGAGCAACGCCGCGUGAGGGACGAAGGCCUCUGGGCUGUAAACCUCUUUUCUCAAGGAAGAAGAUAUGACGGUACUUGAGGAAUAAGCCACGGCUAAUUCCGUGCCAGCAGCCGCGGUAAUACGGGAGUGGCAAGCGUUAUCCGGAAUUAUUGGGCGUAAAGCGUCCGCAGGCGGCCUUUCAAGUCUGCUGUUAAAGCGUGGAGCUUAACUCCAUUAUGGCAGUGGAAACUGAUCGGCUUGAGUAUGGUAGGGGCAGAGGGAAUUCCCGGUGUAGCGGUGAAAUGCGUAGAUAUCGGGAAGAACACCAGUGGCGAAGGCGCUCUGCUGGGCCAUUACUGACGCUCAUGGACGAAAGCCAGGGGAGCGAAAGGGAUUAGAUACCCCUGUAGUCCUGGCCGUAAACGAUGAACACUAGGUGUCGGGGGAAUCGACCCCUUCGGUGUCGUAGCUAACGCGUUAAGUGUUCCGCCUGGGGAGUACGCACGCAAGUGUGAAACUCAAAGGAAUUGACGGGGGCCCGCACAAGCGGUGGAGUAUGUGGUUUAAUUCGAUGCAACGCGAAGAACCUUACCAGGGUUUGACAUCCUGAGAACCUCUUAGAAAUUUGAGGGUGCCUUCGGGAAUUCAGUGGCAGGUGGUGCAUGGCUGUCGUCAGCUCGUGUCGUGAGAUGUUGGGUUAAGUCCCGCAACGAGCGCAACCCACGUUUUUAGUUGCCAGCAUUUAGUUGGGCACUCUAGAAAGACCGCCGGUGAUAAACCGGAGGAAGGUGUGGAUGACGUCAAGUCAUCAUGCCCCUUACACCCUGGGCUACACACGUACUACAAUGCUACGGACAAAGGGCAGCAAACUCGCGAGAGCUAGCAAAUCCCAUAAACCGUGGCUCAGUUCAGAUCGUAGGCUGCAACUCGCCUACGUGAAGUAGGAAUCGCUAGUAAUCGCAGGUCAGCAUACUGCGGUGAAUACGUUCCCGGGCCUUGCACUCACCGCCCGUC
rnacentral:rRNA from 1 species